GACGGAGGGUGCUAGCGUUGUUCGGAAUCACUGGGCGUAAAGGGCGCGUAGGCGGCCUGGCAAGUCGGUUGGUGAAAGCCCGGGGCUCAACCCCGGAGGUGCGGCCGAGACUGCGAGGCUGGAGGCCGGAAGAGGAGGGUGGAAUACCCAGUGUAGAGGUGAAAUUCGUAGAUAUUGGGUGGAACACCGGUGGCGAAAGCGGCUCUCUGGUCCGGACCUGACGCUGAGGCGCGAAAGCGUGGGGAGCAAACAGG
rnacentral:rRNA from 1 species